rnacentral:rRNA from 1 species
UACGGAGGUGGCAAGCGUUGCUCAGAAUCACUGGGCGUAAAGGGCGCGUAGGCGGGGGAGGUAAGUCGGGUGUGAAAAUCCCUUGGCCCAACCGAGGAACUGCGCCCGAGACUGCUUCUCUUGAGUCCCGGAGAGGAAGGUGGAAUUCCCGGUGUAGCGGUGAAAUGUGUAGAGAUCGGGAGGAACACCGGUGGCGAAGGCGGCCUUCUGGACGGUGACUGACGCUGAGGCGCGAAAGCGUGGGGAGCAAACGGG